rnacentral:rRNA from 1 species
CCCGACUGCUAUUUGGGUGAGAAUAAGCCAUGCGAGUUGAAUGGAAUACCUAAAUUUUCCAUAGCAAACUGCUCAGUAACACAUGAUCAACUUACCCUAUAGAGAAAAAUAACCUCGGGAGACUGAGGAUAAUGUUUCAUAGUUGAAAAGGCUUGGAAAAGUUUUUCAAUAAAAAGGAUAAGAAAAAUGGUUCUUAUCCGCUAUAGGAUAGGAUCGUGCUCGAUUAUGGUUGUUGGUGAGGUAAUGGCUCACCAAGCCGAUAAUCGAUAGGGGCCGUGAGAGCGGGAGCCCCGAGAUGGGUACUGAGACAACGACCCAGGCCUUACGAGGCGCAGCAGGCGCGAAACCUCAGCAAUACACGAAAGUGUGACUGGGUUACCCAAAGUGUUCAGUUUUGAACUGUGGUAGGUGAGUAAUGUCCCCUACUAGAAAGGAGAGGGCAAGGCUGGUGCCAGCCGCCGCGGUAAAACCAGCUCUUCAAGUGGUCGGGAUAAUAUUGGGCUUAAAGUGUCCGUAGCCUGUUUAGUAAGUUCCUGGUAAAAUCGGGUAGUUUAACUAUCUGUAUGCUAGGAAUACUGCUAAACUAGAGGGCGGGAGAGGUCUGAGGUACUACAGGGGUAGGGGUGAAAUCUUAUAAUCCUUGUAGGACCACCAGUGGCGAAGGCGUCAGACUGGAACGUGCCUGACGGUGAGGGACGAAAGCCAGGGGAGCGAACCGGAUUAGAUACCCGGGUAGUCCUGGCCGUAAACGAUGCAUACUAGGUGAUGGCAUGGCCAUGAGCCGUGUCAGUGCCGUAGGGAAACCGUUAAGUAUGCCGCCUGGGAAGUACGGUCGCAAGGCUAAAACUUAAAGGAAUUGGCGGGGGAGCACCACAAGGGGUGAAGCCUGCGGUUCA